GACGUAGGAUGCGAGCGUUGUUCGGAUUUAUUGGGCGUAAAGCGUGCGUAGGCGGUCAUCUAAGUCUGGUGUUAAAGCUAGAGGCUCAACCUCUGUGAUGCCCUGGAUACUGGGUGACUUGAGUGCGGUAGGGGAAGGUAGAAUUCCGAGUGUAGCGGUGAAAUGCGCAGAUAUCAGGAGGAACACCGGUGGCGAAGGCGGGUCUCUGGGCCGAUACUGACGCUGAGGAGCGAAAGCGUGGGGAGCGAACAGG
rnacentral:rRNA from 1 species